rnacentral:rRNA from 1 species
CAGUCGCCGCGGGAAUACGUAGGGUGCGAGCGAUAAUCGGAAUUACUGGGCGUAUAGCGUGCGCAGGCGGUUGUGUAAGACAGGUGUGAAAUCCCCGGGCUUAACCUGGGAACUGCGCUUGUGACUGCACAGCUAGAGUAUGGCAGAGGGGGGUGGAAUUCCACGUGUAGCAGUGAAAUGCGUAGAGAUGUGGAGGAACACCGAUGGCGAAGGCAGCCCCCUGGGCCAAUACUGACGCUCAUGCACGAAAGCGUGGGGAGCAAACAGGAUUAGAUACCCGCGUAGUCCCUGUCUCUUAUAC